rnacentral:lncRNA from 1 species
CGGUGACUCAAGGAAAAAUAAGUUUGAGAGUUCGGAGAUGAAAAACUUUCUGGGAUAAACAAGUUCUUCUCUUUUCUCAGAGCAUCCCGCUCCUUUUAUCAAGCCACCUAGGUAGAUUCUUGAAUCCACCUCCUGGAAAGGAGGCAUAAACCUGCUGCCUGAGCUGUCUUAAGAGCUUGAUCAAGCAGUGAGAGGACUGAUGGAUGGACCUUUUAGAGCAUCCAGUUGAGAGCAUGCUAUCUAGCAGCAGAGAGAAGGUCAGUAUUGAGUGCUGAUGUGAACAUCGACUUUUGAAGAAGCUGCUUCUAGCGCAAAGCUUGCCUCUCUCCUUCCUAAGGAAAGACUUGAGAUAUAAACCACAAAAGGGAAAAAAGAAGCGAAGCUACUGGAAGAUGCUAUGUUUCAGGGAAUGGCUUGUCUUUCUACCAAGACGAAUUGAUGAAAACACGAAUGUGAUUAGAAGUACAGUGCCCACAGAUUUCAUGUUCCUUCUCUCCCUCGAGGACCAGGGUGUUGCAUCCGAUGGCAGCUUGGAGACAAGGAAAAAAGAUCAGAGAACAGAUGUUUAG